rnacentral:misc_RNA from 1 species
CUGAGUACUACACUCUCUACCCUUUGUGAACUAUUAUACCUGUUGCCUUCGGCGGCGCCCGCAAGGGUGCCCGCCGGUCUCAUCAGAAUCUCUGUUUUCGAACCCGACGAUACUUCUGAGUGUUCUUAGCGAACUGUCA